UGGGGAAUUUUGGACAAUGGGCGCAAGCCUGAUCCAGCAAUGCCGCGUGAGUGAAGAAGGCCUUCGGGUUGUAAAGCUCUUUCAGUUGAGAAGAAAAAAUUCUGGCUAAUAUCUGGAAUUCAUGACGGUAUCAACAGAAGAAGCACCGGCUAACUACGUGCCAGCAGCCGCGGUAAUACGUAGGGUGCGAGCGUUAAUCGGAAUUACUGGGCGUAAAGGGUGCGCAGGUGGUUUUGUAAGUCAGAUGUGAAAUCCCCGGGCUUAACCUGGGAAUUGCGUUUGAAACUACAAGACUAGAGUGUGGCAGAGGGGGGUGGAAUUCCAUGUGUAGCAGUGAAAUGCGUAGAGAUAUGGAAGAACAUCGAUGGCGAAGGCAGCCCCCUGGGUUAACACUGACACU
rnacentral:rRNA from 1 species